rnacentral:rRNA from 1 species
CGGAGUGAGUAAUGUCUGGGAAACUGCCUGAUGGAGGGGGGUAACUACUGGAAACGGUAGCUAAUACCGCAUAACGUCGCAAGACCAAAGAGGGGGACCUUCGGGCCUCUUGCCAUCGGAUGUGCCCAGAUGGGAUUAGCUAGUAGGUGGGGUAACGGCUCACCUAGGCGACGAUCCCUAGCUGGUCUGAGAGGAUGACCAGCCACACUGGAACUGAGACACGGUCCAG